ACUCUUUUAGUAUAACAAGUACAAUUGACUUCCAAUCAAU
rnacentral:tRNA from 1 species